rnacentral:rRNA from 1 species
GAUGAACGCUGCCGGCAUGCUUAACACAUCAGCGAUGGAUUGUUGGCGGACGGGGGAGUAACGCGUAAAGCACUUACCUCACAGCUAGGGGCAACAUUUGGAAACGAAUCGUAAUACCUAAUACUGUGAGAGAGCUUUGCGUCCCAUUAGCUAGUGGGAGAGGUAACGGCUCACCACGGCGAGGAUGGGUAGCCGGCCUGGGAGGGUGAGCGGCUACAAGGGGACUGAGUGACGGCCCUUACUCAUACGGGAGGCAUCAGUGGGGAAUAGUGGAAAACGGACCAAAGUAUGAUCCAGCAAUUCUGUGUGUACGAUGAAGUUUUCGGAAUGUAAAGUGCUUUCAGUUGGGAAGCGGUACCAACAGAAGAAGUGACGGCUAACUACGUGCCAGCCGCCGCGGUAAUAC